rfam:Myotis lucifugus cont2.28513, whole genome shotgun sequence.
UUCCUAAUAUAAGUAUAUCCCAUGCAUUAUUUAGGACAUACUUAUACUAAAA